CCUUGUCCGCGCAUUCCAGCGGCAGAAACGGAAUGUCUGGGCGAGGCGGCCAGCGGCGCGGUGGUCACCUCCCGCCCCUGCCCUAAGCCCCGAGCCGGCUGCAACUGGGUGGGCUCGGCUGCUGUCGCAACCUCCGUCCUCCCAGUAACACCGGGGCAGGGGGGGCAGCCAUCCGCGGCUGCAGCCUGCCCGGCCCUCCACUCUCCCUCCCACCCCAGCGGGGCCUGCGCCCCAGGUACGGGAUGGGGACCCCUGGGCUCUGCUUUCCCUUCUGCCACUGGUUUGCCCGACUGGGGCUGAAGAUGAAACCCUGCUCCUAGCUCUACAUUCCUUUCCUCAGCCAAGUAACCCAAGUUUUGCUGUGGGCUCUUGUUUAAAAAAAAAAAAAGAAAGAAAAGGCCUCACAGAUUCUAGGGGCAUGAAUAGAAACGCUUUCAUCCGAGCUUCAAAUAUCCACAAACAUUUGAACUUAUAUUACCGGGAAUAGAAAGUCAAACAUACAUUCCCCAGAGAGCCCCGUUAGCUGGAAGGACAGCCUGUACCAACACAGGCUUCAAAGGCUCUCCCGAGGCCCCAUUUCCUCUCCGGAAGAGUUAGCAUGGUACAGGGCUGGAGGCUGCCAGGGGACCCCCAUGGAACUCACUGUCUGUGAGAAGGAGAUUUGCAUAAAUGUGGUGUCUGUCUACGGGAAUGUGGUGGAUUUAGGAAAGAGAUACUGACUGCCUGCGGAGACCAGGAAGACUUCUAAAACCAGGUGACAUUUGAGCUGCGUCUUAAAACAAUGGGCGCGAGUUCCAACAGAGCCUAUCUGGUCGUCCUAUUUCACUAUUUUCCCUCUACAAGUGAUCCUCCUCACACGAUCCUAAACCUCACUUCUCAUAUUUGUACCCCAUGCUGGUAGCAGCAUUAUACACAAUAGCCAAGAGGCGGAAACAACCCAAGUGUCUCUCUUUGUGUGAAUGGAAAAGCAAAAUGCAGUAUCUACGUACAAUGGAAUACUGUUCAGCCUUAAAAGGGAGGAAAUUUUGGCAGAUGCUACAAAAUGGAUGAACCUUGAGAGUAUUAUGUUAAGUGAAAUAAGCUAGUCACAAAAAGACAAAUACUGUAUGAUUCCAUUUACAUGGGGAAUCUAGAGUAGUCAAAUUCAUAGAGACAGAAAGAAUGGUGGUUAACAGGAGCUGAGGGGAAGUGGGGAUGGGGAGUUGUAUAAUGUAUCAAUGACAUUGGGCAGUGAUAGUCACACUGAGGGAAAAGGUCACUCAACUCCCACUGAGAACUCACCAAUUUAGAAGGACCUUAGAAGAAACGAGAAGUUUGUAAUAAUGGGAAGAGGACACUAAGAAGUUUGAAAGAAACUAUGCCAAGAAGAGGAGGGAUUGAUAAAUACAGUAUUUGCAAGCUCUGGUGGACAUUUGUCUUUCGUCUUGCUUUUAGAAUGAUCCCCAAAGCCUUUGAACCCUACAUUAGUCAGGGUUCUUGAGAGAAACAAAACCAAUAAAUUUUAUAUACACAUACAUAUAGAGAGAGGGUGGGGGGAGUAAUUGAGAUUAUGAGGGAUUGGUUCAUGCGAUUAUGAAGGCUGAGAAGUCCCACAGUCUGCUGUCUGCAAGCUGGGGGCCCAGGAAAGCCAGUGGUGUAAUCCAGUCCAAGCCUGAAGGCCCAAGAGCAGGAGAGCCAAUGACAUAAGGCCCAAUCUGAGUCCAGAGACCCAAGAACCAGGAAUGCUGAUGUCCAAGGACAGGAGAAGCUGGUUGGCCCAGCUCCAGCAGAGAACACAUUUGCCUUCCACUGUCUUUUUGCUCCAUUCAAGCCCUCAACAGAUUGGAUGAUGCCCACUCCACUCACAUAGAUGAAGGCUGCUGGAACUCCAAGUAUCAUGUUGGCAUUCCAGGAUGAAGGAAGAGGGAAGACCAAAGGCCAAAGAGCAAAGGACCAAAAGAUAUUUGCUGCUGACAUCUCAUGGCCACACCUGGCCACAAG
rnacentral:lncRNA from 1 species